rnacentral:rRNA from 1 species
UGCAAGUCGACGAUGACGGUGGUGCUUGCACCACCUGAUUAGUGGCGAACGGGUGASUAACACGUGAGUAACCUGCCCUUCACUUCGGGAUAACCUCGGGAAAUCGUGGCUAAUACCGGAUAUGAGCUCCUUCCGCAUGGCGGGGGUUGGAAAGAUUUAUCGGUGAAGGAUGGACUCGCGGCCUAUCAGUUUGUUGGUGAGGUAAUGGCUCACCAAGGCGAUGACGGGUAGCCGGCCUGAGAGGGCGACCGGCCACACUGGGACUGAGACACGGCCCAGACUCCUACGGGAGGCAGCAGUGGGGAAUAUUGCACAAUGGGCGAAAGCCUGAUGCAGCGACGCCGCGUGGGGGAUGACGGCCUUCGGGUUGUAAACCCCUUUCAGUAGGGAAGAAGCGAAAGUGACGGUACCUGCAGAAGAAGCGCCGGCUAACUACGUGCCAGCAGCCGCGGUAAUACGUAGGGCGCAAGCGUUGUCCGGAAUUAUUGGGCGUAAAGAGCUCGUAGGUGGCUUGUCGCGUCUGCCGUGAAAACCCGAGGCUCAACCUCGGGCGUGCGGUGGGUACGGGCAGGCUAGAGUGUGGUAGGGGAGACUGGAACUCCUGGUGUAGCGGUGAAAUGCGCAGAUAUCAGGAAGAACACCGAUGGCGAAGGCAGGUCUCUGGGCCAUUACUGACACUGAGGAGCGAAAGCAUGGGUAGCGAACAGGAUUAGAUACCCUGGUAGUCCAUGCCGUAAACGUUGGGCACUAGAUGUGGGGGACAUUCCACGUUUUCCGCGUCGUAGCUAACGCAUUAAGUGCCCCGCCUGGGGAGUACGGCCGCAAGGCUAAAACUC